AGACAAGUAACAGAUGAAUAAUUAUGUGAUAUGCCCUGGUCUAGUUUUACUUUAUGGGCACUUAUUUUAUUGGAAUAAGAGAGUCCAAUGGCUAAUAGAAUUGGAGUAUAGGAUUCUGCUAAUGUACUCAUCCUGUAUAUGUUAAAAUUGAAUUUUCUGAAUUAUGACAUGACACGCAUUUUAUUUAUUCUAUAAUAAUUUUUAUUAUUUAAUUAUUUAUUU
rnacentral:lncRNA from 1 species